AAUGCCAACUCCAGAGCAUACAUGGGAAACCUAGAGCAAGUGGAAGGCAAUGGAGCUAUCAGGAUGGACCUUUUAUGGAGGAAAGUCUCUCAAGACUCAUAAAUGUUCAGAUUUCCAGUGAAAAUCCUCUGGGCCCAGUUGUUUGGAAGCCAAGGGGGACUCUAGGAAAAUUCCACAUUGGUUUGACUGUCUGGGACAUACUCGAUUGACUCCUGCACCUCUGCAUUUAAAGAGAAAAAUCAGAUGGAAUAUAAGAAGAGUUCCUGAUCUGCUACUUGUCAUUCCCUGGAACCAAUGGAUGUUCAACCCAUCUGUCAAGUCUAUUUUAAAGAAUUGCACAUAUACAGAAAAUUAAAGUAA